AUUGAACGCUGGCGGCAUGCUUUACACAUGCAAGUCGAACGGCAGCGCGGGCUUCGGCCUGGCGGCGAGUGGCGAACGGGUGAGUAAUACAUCGGAACGUGCCCAGUAGUGGGGGAUAGCUCGGCGAAAGCCGGAUUAAUACCGCAUACGACCUGAGGGUGAAAGCGGGGGAUCUUCGGGCCUCGCGCUAUUGGAGCGGCCGAUGGCAGUUUAGCUAGUUGGUGGGGUAAAGGCCUACCAAGGCGACGAUCUGUAGCUGGUCUGAGAGGACGACCAGCCACACUGGGACUGAGCCACGGCCCAGACUCCUACGGGAGGCAGCAGUGGGGAAUUUUGGACAAUGGGCGAAAGCCUGAUCCAGCAAGGCCGCGUGUGUGAUGAAGGCCUUCGGGUUGUAAAGCACUUUUGGCGGGAACGAAAAGGACUGUGCCAAUACCACGGUUCGAUGACGGUACCCGCAGAAUAAGCACCGGCUAACUACGUG
rnacentral:rRNA from 1 species